rnacentral:rRNA from 1 species
CAGUCGCCGCGGGAAUACGAAGGGUGCAAGCGUUACUCGGAAUUACUGGGCGUAAAGCGUGUGUAGGUGGUUGUUUAAGUCUGUCGUGAAAGCCCUGGGCUCAACCUGGGAAUUGCGAUGGAUACUGGGCGACUAGAGUGCGGUAGAGGAUAGUGGAAUUUCCGGUGUAGCAGUGAAAUGCGUAGAGAUCGGAAGGAACAUCUGUGGCGAAGGCGACUAUCUGGGCCAACACUGACACUGAGACACGAAAGCGUGGGGAGCAAACAGGAUUAGAUACCCUGUAGUCCCUGUCUCUUAUACA